UUUGCCUGGCGGCCAUAGCGCCGUGGAACCACCUGAUCCCUUGCCGAACUCAGAAGUGAAACGCGGUAGCGCCGAUGGUAGUGUGGCAUUCGCCAUGCGAGAGUAGGACACUGCCAGGCA
rnacentral:rRNA from 1 species